UACGAAGGGGGCUAGCGUUGUUCGGAAUUACUGGGCGUAAAGCGUGCGCAGGCGGCUUCUCAAGUCAGGGGUGAAAGCCCAGAGCUCAACUCUGGAAUUGCCUUUGAGACUGAGUGCCUUGAGUACGAGAGAGGUGAGUGGAAUUCCCAGUGUAGAGGUGAAAUUCGUAGAUAUUGGGAAGAACACCGGUGGCGAAGGCGGCUCACUGGCGCGUAACUGACGCUCAGGCACGACAGCGUGGGGAUCAAACAGG
rnacentral:rRNA from 1 species